CAGUCAAAUACUUAUUAUCUAUCAAUUACGUAUUUACAGAAGUCUUGAUUUGAACUACAUUUAUGCGUUUAUUUGCUAAACCUAGUCUUCCCCAAUGUUGUUUCUUCUUAUUUCAGACAUCCUAAUGUAAUUAUAUUGACAACAUCGAACAUAACUAGAGCCAUAGACGUUGCGUUCGUGGACAGAGCCGACAUCAAACAGUAUAUUGGUCCGCCAUCAGCCAAAGCUAUUUACAAAAUUUACCAUUCUUGCAUCAAGGAACUUGUAAGGAUAAUUUUUUAAUAAUCAAAAUUAAUGUUCACCGUUUCAUCACAGACCAGUAUCAUAUCACCAGCCACUCAAAUUUUGGAUUUAAGAGCUCUGGAAAUUUAACGCUUUGUCGACAACGAUUUAACACACUGUAGUCUUGAAUUAAAGAAGAUAGCCGA